rnacentral:rRNA from 1 species
GACAGCAGCAGCCGCGGUAAUACGGAGGGUGCAAGCGUUGCUCGGAAUUAUUGGGCGUAAAGGGUAGGUAGGUGGUCUUAUUUGUCUGGGGUGAAAGCCUUGAGCUUAACUCAAGAAGUGCCUCAGAAACGGUAAGACUAGAGUUCUGGAGAGGGUCGUGGAAUUCCCGGUGUAGCGGUGAAAUGCGUAGAGAUCGGGAGGAACACCAGAGGCGAAAGCGGCGACCUGGACAGCAACUGACACUCAACUACGAAAGCGUGGGGAGCAAACAGGAUUAGAUACCCCUGUAGUCCCUGUCUCUUAUAC